rnacentral:lncRNA from 1 species
GAGGAGAGAAUGAAUUGUGAAUGAGGGAAGUGAGGGAGAGCACGUAUUUGUAAAGGAAAGUUGCCGACAGAACCGACAGAAUUCCAACGGAAUUCCGACGGAAAAACAUCAAACUGUCGGAAAUUCGUCGGAAACUGUCAACGGUAAUAAUAUUCGUCGGAAAUAAAACGGUUAAAAAUUUUCCGUCGGAAUUUCGUCGGUAUUUUCAGACGAAAUUCUGACGACAAUAUAAAAUACAAAACUUAAAAAGCACUUGCGUAACAGUUAUAUACUUUCGUCGAAAUUUCGUAAAAAUUGUCCGACGAAAUUCCGACGAAAGUAAAAAAAUAGAAAACAUAUAAAAAUGUCGCGUAACGGAUAUAUUCUUUCCUCGGAAAGUGGUGGAAAUUCCGUUGAAAGUUAUCGAUAAAGUAAUGUUCGUCGGUAUUUCGUCGGAAAUUACCGACGAAUGCGAAAAUAAACAGUUCAUCGGUAUUAGGUCAGGAAUGCGUCAUAAAUUUCCGAGAAAAUUUCGUCGCCGUCGGAAUCUCUGUCAGAAUGUUUCGUGUUUUCUUGUAGUGUCCAUUUACACUAGUUUCGCUUAAUUUAGUCGCUAUGUCCGCAUCAUUCGUACGCGACAUGUGACAGUAAUACAUAUAAUCAUCCAAAUCCUAUGGGUAUACUGAUUUAAUAUUAGGAAAAAUUGCAUAAAAAUAGCUUAACUAAAUUUCAUUAAACUUUGCUAUCUGGUUAUACACACACUAGUUAUUUCACACAUUUUCAUACACUUACUUUUAAAUAUGUGUUUAAUUAAAUAUCCAAACUAUGCUUUUAAUCAAAAUAUUAGUAAUUUUCAAACACAAUUUUAAAAAUCUCUAAAUUUCAAAAAAUAUAUUAAAAUUCCAAAUUUUGGUUGAAGUUUUACGAUUACAAGUAAAUAAAUUAUCUAUAAUAUCAAAAAAAAUUGAAAUAUUAGUUUUAGUUUUAGUUUUAAUUUCAAAUUUAGUUUGUUUCGUGAACUUUAAAACUAGUUUAUUUAUUUUUAUUUAGAAUUAAGUUUCUUUAAUUUUUAAAAUUAUCCUAAAUUUAGUUAAUUUUAUUCUUAAAUCUUAAAAUAAAUUUUAAAUUUUAAGAUUUUUUUUUUUGUAUUUUAUAGAUUAUUUUAAGUUUUUUAAAAUUAUUAACAUUUUUGAUUAAAAUGAGCAUAGUUUAGAUAUUAAAAUGAGCAUAUUUAUAAAAUUAAGUGUAUUAAAAUGAAAAAAAAUAUUUAAGUUGAGUAUUAAACCCGUAGCCAUAAAAAUUGGAUAUUGAAAGCUUUAAAAAAUUUAGUUGGGAUAUUUUAAUAGAAUUUUGAAUUUUCCCUUAAUAUUAUUUUUAUACGAGCGAGUAUAAGGGAAAGUGAAUGAUUGUGUAAACAAUAUUUGCAUCCUUUUUUCUCUCUUAUAUAUGUUUGUUGAU